CACCUCCCCCUAGUUACACCCCACAUUCCAGCCAGACCCACCACAAUGCACCUCUUGUCUGUUCCUCUUCCUCCUUGCAAUGCAAUGCACCAUCUGUUUGAUGCUCCACACAUGUCUGCCUCUUUGGAAGCUUCCGUGCCUCGACAUGCGUGCCAUCACCGUCAUGCUCGGCCUGGCGAUCGCCCGGACUUGCCGGUUCCCCUAGAGAACGCAGAAGGACAAAUAAUCAGGAGGCAGGGUUUCUUUGGCGGAGCAAGCUUGAGGCAGGAGACUGAGACCAAAGAGCUUCUAUAUUGUGGAAAGGGCCAAAGAAGUUGGUUAUUUUUGAGACAGGCUGACACAGUCGCUGUCCUUAAAUCCACUGUGAAGCUAGACAACAAAAUAGUAAAGCAGGAACACUGGAACAGGGAGUCGCAUACUCGCAUGCCACAAUGUCACUAGAUCCUACUGUAGCAGUAAAUCACAAAUUACAGCAUCCCCGAUUGCAGUGAAGUCAGGAUGUAACCACCUAGAUGCCACAGGGAAAAACAUGAAGUGGAUCCAAAUUCUCUGAACAUUAUGGUUAUCACUUCAUUCCAUCCCAUAUUAAUCAAAUCUGUAUAUACAACUAAAGGUCAAUGUCAAUGUCCAAGAAGGUGAAACUGCAUUGUUAGCAUCUACCUGAUUGGAAUGUUCUACGAGCUGCAAUAUACAAAGGUUACAGCCCUUCCUGUA